ACCUACGGGAGGCAGCAGUAGGGAAUCUUCCACAAUGGGCGAAAGCCUGAUGGAGCAACGCCGCGUGGGUGAAGAAGGUCUUCGGAUCGUAAAACCCUGUUGUUAGAGAAGAAAGUGUGUGAGAGUAACUGUUCACGUUUCGACGGUAUCUAACCAGAAAGCCACGGCUAACUACGUGCCAGCAGCCGCGGUAAUACGUAGGUGGCAGGCGUUAUCCGGAUUUAUUGGGCGUAAAGGGAACGCAGGUGGUCUUUUAAGUCUGAUGUGAAAGCCUUCGGCUUAACCGGAGUAGUGCAUUGGAAACU
rnacentral:rRNA from 1 species